CACACACAACGAAAUUGCAUAACUUCACCAAAAAAUCCUCCGAUUAAAUGAAUAUGAAUUAAAUAUGUCUGCGACUGUAAAUGAUCCGAAUGACGAUCCAGUUGAGUCCAUGUUAAAGAAAACCGGCUGCAUUUCACUGCAUUAUAAAGUUCAAGAGUGUAUAGCUGAGACUCAGGAUUGGCGUAAAUGCCAGGACAUAGUGAAGGAAUUUAAGGGCUGCAUGCAAGCAUACGUUAACCAACAACAGAACAAAUAUUCACACCACACAAAAUCGAACUAGCAACAAUAUACACGAUGAUGAAAUUGAUUCGAAACGCUUUUCCGGGCACAAUGUAUUUGAUUGUCCGGACGGAUUUAAAGAUGGGAAAGGGAAAAAUUGCUUCUCAAUGUUCACAUGCUGCCGUACUUUGCUUCCAGGCAAGUCAACGUCGAAAUGGCAGUUUACUUAAAAAUUGGAUGCUGUGCGGACAACCGAAGAUUGUAUUAAAAGUUGAUAAUUUAGAGGAACUGGAAAAAUUAGGAAAACAAGCGGAAGAAUUGGGCAUAGUCGCUGAAGUCGUUAGAGAUGCUGGUAGAACGCAAAUACCUGAAGCGACUGUUACAGUGUUAGGUUUAGGUCCGGAAGGCAAAGAACUUGAGUCACUUGUAAAACAUCUGAAGCUACUGUAAAUAGAAACUGCUGUCGUUGUUCGAUUGUCGAUUUUAGCAAGAGUAAAAUGUUGAACUUUUGCC